rnacentral:rRNA from 1 species
GCGAAAGAGUUCUUCGGAACUUGAGUAGAGUGGCGCACGGGUGAGUAACGCGUAAAUAAUCUACCCUGGUGUCUGGGAUAACCAGCCGAAAGGCUGACUAAUACCGGCUAUAUGCUUCACUUUGGGGUGAAGCAGGAAAGGUGGCCUCUUCUUGAAAGCUACCGCACUGGGAUGAGUUUGCGUACCAUUAGCUAGUUGGUGGGGUAAUGGCCCACCAAGGCGACGAUGGUUAGCGGGUCUGAGAGGAUGAUCCGCCACACUGGCACUGGAACACGGGCCAGACUCCUACGGGAGGCAGCAGUGAGGAAUAUUGCGCAAUGGGGGAAACCCUGACGCAGCGACGCCGCGUGAGUGAGGAAGGCCUUCGGGUCGUAAAGCUCUGUCAGAUGGGAAGAAGUGUUAUACGGUUAAUACCCGUAUGAUUUGACGGUACCAUCAGAGGAAGCACCGGCUAACUCCGUGCCAGCAGCCGCGGUAAUACGGAGGGUGCGAGCGUUGUUCGGAAUCACUGGGCGUAAAGGGCGCGCAGGCGGCUUUUUAAGUCAGAUGUGAAAGCCCACGGCUUAACCGUGGAAGUGCAUUUGAAACUGGGAGGCUUGAGUACCAGAGGGGAAGGUGGAAUUCCCGGUGUAGAGGUGAAAUUCGUAGAUAUCGGGAGGAAUACCGGUGGCGAAGGCGACUUUCUGGCUGGAUACUGACGCUGAGGCGCGAAAGCGUGGGGAGCAAACAGGAUUAGAUACCCUGGUAGUCCACGCCGUAAACGAUGUGAACUAGAUGUUGGAGGUAUUGAUCCCUUCGGUG